rnacentral:rRNA from 1 species
UGGGGAAUAUUGCACAAUGGGCGCAAGCCUGAUGCAGCCAUGCCGCGUGUAUGAAGAAGGCCUUCGGGUUGUAAAGUACUUUCAGUCGGGAGGAAGGUGGUAAGGUUAAUAACCUUAUCAAUUGACGUUACCGACAGAAGAAGCACCGGCUAACUCCGUGCCAGCAGCCGCGGUAAUACGGAGGGUGCAAGCGUUAAUCGGAAUUACUGGGCGUAAAGCGCACGCAGGCGGUUGAUUGAGUCAGAUGUGAAAUCCCCGGGCUUAACCCGGGGAUUGCAUCUGAUACUGGUCAGCUAGAGUCUUGUAGAGGGGGGUAGAAUUCCAUGUGUAGCGGUGAAAUGCGUAGAGAUGUGGAGGAAUACCGGUGGCGAAGGCGGCCCCCUGGACAAAGACUGACGCUCAGGUGCGAAAGCGUGGGGAGCAAACAGG